rnacentral:lncRNA from 1 species
CUGGGCUCGGGGCCGCCCCUGCCCCUGGUCCUUCAGUGUUGCUCAAACUAGAAACAGAAGCCAUGCUGGAAGACAGAGCUGCUGACCUAAGCCCAAAGCCCAGUAAUCUUCAAGCAAGGGACCUGUUUGAGUGUCUGCUCCAUGACAGGCGGGGGACUCUUUGCCCAUGGAAGCUCUAGGGCCAUUUUCCAGCUGAGGUUUUAAAAAAAAAGGGAAGAUGUGGGUCAGAGGACACCCACAGAGGACAGACUCCACGUUUUUUUU